UACGUAGGGUGCAAGCGUUGUCCGGAAUUAUUGGGCGUAAAGAGCUCGUAGGCGGCCUGUCGCGUCGGCUGUGAAAACUCAGGGCUCAACCCUGAGCCUGCAGCCGAUACGGGCAGGCUAGAGUCCGGCAGGGGAGACUGGAAUUCCUGGCGUAGCGGUGAAAUGCGCAGAUAUCAGGAGGAACACCGGUGGCGAAGGCGGGUCUCUGGGCCGGAACUGACGCUGAGGAGCGAAAGCGUGGGGAGCGAACAGG
rnacentral:rRNA from 1 species